CUCCACCCUCUUCCUCCUGAAUCAGCUCUGCAGAGGAGAGCCUGCUGCCCCUGACAGCCCGGCUGCUGGCAGGUGAUGGAACCGUAAGCUUCAAAGACUUCCUGGGUGUCCUCACUGAUAGCUACCGCCUGGCUCAGUGCUUGGGUGUGCACAGUCCCUACUCUCAGAUACCUAACUUGGCCGUGUGGACACCCCCGGAAGACGGGAUGUGGCACCGAGCCCCGCGCCCCAAAGUCCGA